AUUGCGCUAUCUGUAUACGUUUAAUGCAGUUCAAUUCCUUGUUUGCCUUAUUACAAUGUAAAGUGGUGAAUUUCUUGCCAACUUUUAUAAUGGGUUCUAAAAUGUAUAUUUAUUAAUGUAUCAAAUGUAUUUGAAAUCUCGUAUUGCUACAGUCAGUUUCAUCUUUAUUUCUUUGUUUUAUAACCACAUUUUUGUAUUAUUUUCUCUACCCUCGUUAGUUUUCGGGAUUUGUGUUUCCCACAUCUUGAAUGAUUAAAGAGGCCAAUCCUUGAUACACAGUUGCGGUCACAGUUUGGGCGUCUGUAAUCAUGAACCACCGUUGCAUUUCCACCCUUCUUUCUACUACUGUUGUGUAUGGCAUCUGCGAUUCGGGACCCUUUCUUUAUACUCUCUCUCCAUGUCGAUCUAUCAAUUGUCACUGUUUCCCUGCUUUUAGUGUCGAUUUUAUUUAUAUGAAGGCACACUUAAUCGCACUAAUUUGUAUAUUAUAUAUUUUCUUUAAUAGCGUUUUAAAAUCCAGUCCAACUUUUUCCCAGCUGUUUGUGUCGAUUUUAUUAAUGGGUAGGCACACUUAAUUGCACUAAUUAGUAUAUAAUAUAUUUUCAUUUAUUGUCUUUUAAAACAACUAAAAUUUAAAAAAAUCUUUCACACAAAAUGAACUAGAACAUUAUUUUAUAACAUCUUUUGUUUAUAUAUAAGAAGAAAUGUGUGUAUUUUAGUAUGCUACUGUCCACACGUUUCCAUA